rnacentral:ncRNA from 1 species
CUUGCUCUAACGGGGUGCCCGGGGUUCUUUCCUCCGGCUGAGAGGCGGUUUCGCCAACCCGAAGAACCUGAUCCGGCUCGUACCGGCGGAGGGAUUAGACGGCACAUCCAG